rnacentral:rRNA from 1 species
GUAGCGGCGAGCGAAACGGGAAAAGCCCAAACCAACAAGCUUGCUUGUUGGGGUUGUAGGACUCCGAUAUGGUAGUCUAUUCAGAUAGUCGAAAUACUUGGAAAAGUAUGUCAAAGAGGGUAAAAACCCCGUAGGCGAAAUUUGGAUAACACCUAGGAGGAUCCUGAGUACGGCGGAACACGAGGAAUUCCGUCGGAAUCCGGGAGGACCAUCUCCCAAGGCUAAAUACUCCCUAGUGACCGAUAGUGAACCAGUACCGUGAGGGAAAGGUGAAAAGCACCCCGGGAGGGGAGUGAAAUAGAACCUGAAACCGUGUGCCUACAACAAGUUAGAGCCCGUUAAUGGGUGAUAGCGUGCCUUUUGUAGAAUGAACCGGCGAGUUACGAUUGCAUGCGAGGUUAAGGUGAAGAGCCGGAGCCGUAGCGAAAGCGAGUCUGAAGAGGGCGAAUGAGUAUGUAGUCGUAGACCCGAAACCAUGUGAUCUACCCAUGUCCAGGUUGAAGGUGCGGUAAAACGCACUGGAGGACCAAACCCACGUACGUUGAAAAGUGCGGGGAUGAGGUGUGGGUAGCGGAGAAAUUCAAAACGAACUUGGAGAUAGC